rnacentral:lncRNA from 1 species
UAGUCUACAAACCACACUUUGAAUAGCAAAGGUACAAUGGUUAAGAGGCCCAUCAACUCAAUGAGUCAAAGUUCUAACAUUUAUAAGCCAUGUGAUCAGAUCCAAGCCAUUCCCUUAAGUUCUACUUUCUCCCUGGGUAAAAGAGAAAUCUACCGCAUUUAAAAAAUACAUUAUAGGGUUGAUGAAAAAUACAUGUGCAGUCUUUAGAACAGUGUCUAACACAUCAUUAAAUGCUCAAUAAAAUUAGCCAUUACUGGCCAGGUGCGGUGGCUCACGCCUGUAAUUCCAGAACUUUGGGAGGCCGAGGUGGGUGGAUCACCUGAGGUCAGGAGUUAAAGACAAGCCUGGCCAACGUGAUGAAACCCCGUCUCUAUUAAAAAUACAAAAAAUUAGCUGGGCAUGGUGGCAGGCUCCUGUAUGCCCAGCUACGCAGGAGGCUAAAGCAGGAGAAUCGCUUGAACCCAAGAGACAGAGGUUGCGGUGAGCCUAGAUCGUGCAAUUGCACUCCAGCCUAAAGUCUGUGCCAAGAGUGUUUACUAAGUCAAUCUGUACACAGCUUCAUCUGGUAAAACAGGAAAGGUAAUUGCAAGAGUUGCAAUUGCAUCACUGAAUGUCUCUUGCUUUAAAAAAUAAAUAUG